ensembl:snoRNA
UGCAGCCUUGUCAAAUUCAGUGGGCCUGUUCUCAUGGACCUCACUGGCCAAAAUGGCUGCCACAUCAGCUGUAGUUCAUGGGCCUUGCCUUCCUGUGCGGUGGGAGGUGGGGAUAAAAAUUUUCUACAGACAUUU